rnacentral:rRNA from 1 species
UACGAAGGGGGCUAGCGUUGCUCGGAAUCACUGGGCGUAAAGCGCACGUAGGCGGACUCUUAAGUCGGUGGUGAAAUCCUGGAGCUCAACUCCAGAACUGCCUUCGAUACUGGGAGCCUUCGAGUCCGAGAGAGGUGAGUGGAACUGCGAGUGUAGAGGUGAAAUUCGUAGAUAUUCGCAAGAACACCAGUGGCGAAGGCGGCUCACUGGCCCGGUACUGACGCUGAGGUGCGAAAGCGUGGGGAGCAAACAGG